rnacentral:rRNA from 1 species
GACGAACGCUGGCGGCGUGCUUAACACAUGCAAGUCGAACGGAAAGGCCCUGCUUUUGUGGGGUGCUCGAGUGGCGAACGGGUGAGUAACACGUGAGUAACCUGCCCUUGACUUUGGGAUAACUUCAGGAAACUGGGGCUAAUACCAGAUAGGAGCUCCUGCUGCAUGGUGGGGGUUGGAAAGUUUCGGCGGUUGGGGAUGGACUCGCGGCUUAUCAGCUUGUUGGUGGGGUAGUGGCUUACCCAGGCUUUGACGGGUAGCCGGCCUGGGAGGGUGACCGGCCACAUUGGGACUGAGGUACGGCCCAGACUCGUACGGGAGGCAGCAGUGGGGAAUAUUGCACAAGGGGCGGAAGCCUGAUGCAGCAACGCCGCGGGCGGGAUGACGGCCUUCGGGUUGUAAACCGCUUUCGCCUGUGACGAAGCGUGAGUGACGGUAAUGGGUAAAGAAGCACCGGCUAACUACGUG